ACUUUUGAGAACCUUUUCUGAGAAACAUAAAGCUGCCAGAGUUCCAGUGCCUGCCUGCCUGCUGCUAAACUAAGACCAGAUGAUGGAGCUGCGUCCAAGCUGAGUAUGUCAGCCCUGGGAAUGAGAGCUCCUGGCGACAGCUCCAGCGCUGCAAACCCACACCAGUGACCCUGCUCGGAACAGAAAGCCAGGCAAAGACAGAAACAGCAAAUGGGGGACAGGAGGGCAGCCAGUUUUAGGUUACCAUAUCUAAAUCCAUUUUGGUCUGAUACUGAAUGAAGUCUGUUCCUGAUGGAGUUGCCUCAGCAAUUUUUCUGAAGAAUCCUUCAAACCAUUUUUUUAAGCAAAACAUGAAGGCAGCUGAAAAAGACAUCGUGGAAGAGAAAGGAUCCAUGCUGGUCAAAACAGGCAGCCUUAUGCAUCAGCACCAGAGCUGCAGUGGCACAAAGCAAGGUAGUUUGCCCCUUCUGUCCAGCACAGCAAUCACUUUAUUAGUCUUUACCAAAAAAAAAGUCUUCCACAAGCAUAUACUCUACCUCAGUCCUGGCAAAACUUUCAAAACUUUUUGUUAUUGCUUCUGA
rnacentral:lncRNA from 1 species